rnacentral:rRNA from 1 species
GACGAACGCUGGCGGCGUGCUUAACACAUGCAAGUCGAACGGAAAGGCCCUGCUUUUGUGGGGUGCUCGAGUGGCGAACGGGUGAGUAACACGUGAGUAACCUGCCCUUGACUUUGGGAUAACUUCAGGAAACUGGGGCUAAUACCGGAUAGGAGCUCCUGCUGCAUGGUGGGGGUUGGAAAGUUUCGGCGGUUGGGGAUGGACUCGCGGCUUAUCAGCUUGUUGGUGGGGUAGUGGCUUACCAAGGCUUUGACGGGUAGCCGGCCUGAUAGGGUGACCGGCCACAUUGGGACUGAGAUACGGCCCAGACUCCUACGGGAGGCAGCAGUGGGGAAUAUUGCACAAUGGGCGGAAGCCUGAUGCAGCAACGCCGCGUGCGGGAUGACGGCCUUCGGGUUGUAAACCGCUUUCGCCUGUGACGAAGCGUGAGUGACGGUAAUGGGUAAAGAAGCACCGGCUAACUACGU